AGAGUUUGAUCCUGGCUCAGGAUGAACGCUAGCGGGAGGCUUAACACAUGCAAGUCGAGGGGCAGCACGAGGUAGUAAUACUUUGGUGGCGACCGGCGCACGGGUGAGUAACGCGUAUGCAACCUACCUGUAACAGAGGGAUAGCCCAUAGAAAUGUGGAUUAAUAUCUCAUAGUUCUAUUAGAUCGCAUGAUUUGAUAGAUAAAGCUCCGGCGGUUACAGAUGGGCAUGCGUGACAUUAGCUAGUUGGUAAGGUAACGGCUUACCAAGGCUACGAUGUCUAGGGGUUCUGAGAGGAUUACCCCCCACACUGGUACUGAGACACGGACCAGACUCCUACGGGAGGCAGCAGUGAGGAAUAUUGGUCAAUGGGCGCAAGCCUGAACCAGCCAUCCCGCGUGCAGGAUGACGGCCCUAUGGGUUGUAAACUGCUUUUAUACACCAAGAAAAAUCCCCACGUGUGGGGACCCGACGGUAGUGUAUGAAUAAGCAUCGGCUAACUCCGUGCCAGCAGCCGCGGUAAUACGGAGGAUGCAAGCGUUAUCCGGAUUCAUUGGGUUUAAAGGGUGCGUAGGCGGAUUAAUAAGUCAGUGGUGAAAACCUGCAGCUUAACUGUAGAAUUGCCAUUGAUACUGUUAGUCUUGAGUACGGUCAAGGUAGGCGGAAUGUGUAAUGUAGCGGUGAAUGCUUAGAUAUUACACAGAACACCAAUUGCGAAGGCAGGUUACCAACCCAUUACUGACGCUGAGGCACGAAAGCGUGGGGAUCGAACAGGAUUAGAUACCCUGGUAGUCCACGCCGUAAACGAUGAUCACUCGCUGUUUGCGAUACACAGUCAGCGACCAAGGGAAACCGAUAAGUGAUCCACCUGGGGAGUACGGUCGCAAGACUAAAACUCAAAGGAAUUGACGGGGGCCCGCACAAGCGGAGGAACAUGUGGUUUAAUUCGAUGAUACGCGAGGAACCUUACCUGGGCUUAAAUGUAGGCUGCAUUCGGCUGAAAGGCUGAUUCCCUUCGGGGCUGCUUACAAGGUGCUGCAUGGUUGUCGUCAGCUCGUGCCGUGAGGUGUCGGGUUAAGUCCCAUAACGAGCGCAACCCUUAUCGUUAGUUGCCAGCGGGUUAAGCCGGGGACUCUAGCGAGACUGCCACCGUAAGGUGAGAGGAAGGUGGGGAUGACGUCAAAUCAGCACGGCCCUUAUGUCCAGGGCUACACACGUGUUACAAUGGCCGAUACAAAGGGCAGCUACUCCGCGAGGAGAUGCUAAUCUCUAAAGUCGGUCCCAGUUCGGAUUGGAGUCUGCAACCCGACUCCAUGAAGUUGGAUUCGCUAGUAAUCGCGCAUCAGCCAUGGCGCGGUGAAUACGUUCCCGGGCCUUGUACACACCGCCCGUCAAACCAUGGGAGCUGGGGGUGCCUGAAGUCUGCCACCGCAAGGAGCGGCCUAGGGUAAAACCAGUGACUGGGGUUAAGUCGUAACAAGGUAAC
rnacentral:rRNA from 1 species